AGCCUUCUGUAUUCGUGGUGAGAUUUCUUCACACACCAUUCAAAAGGGCUGUUGAGACUUUCAAGAUAAGUGAAGCG
rnacentral:pre_miRNA from 1 species